rfam:Clostridium bartlettii CAG:1329 genomic scaffold, scf43
UAGUAUAUUUUUCUCCGAGCGAAAAUAUCUAAGGAAUUGAUCUAUGAUAUUGAGCCAAGCAUAAAUUGCUUCUGGGUUAGAAAGGAAACUGACUAGCCUUCCGUAUUUGAAAAGGUGAUAUAAAUAUAUUUAC